CCCGGCCCGCAUGUUACCAAAUCCUAACCCUGAGAACUCAGGACAAGAAACUUCCUUUUGCUACAGGAGUGGAGUGGUACACAAAUGGAUACUAUUUAAAUACCGCUUGCUUUCUCACAAAAAAAAUAAAAUAAAAUAAAAAUAUCAGACGUAAAUGCAUGAAUGUCAUCGGUGAUCUAUCCAACGGUAAAAUUAAUAGCUGAGUGCUAGAAGUAUAUGAACUCGACGCCUAGGCUCAUUUGUUUGGCAACAAAAUCCAAGCAACAAUCAGAACAAAUUCUACAUGUUUUGAUGCCUUGCCGCAUUAGUUUUUCCCAUACUAAUCUAUGUUUUGUACAAUGUUACAGGAACAUGAUCUUGCACCAUCAAACAUGAUUGGUAAUAUGCGGGCAGGGGUGGUGGGGAGUCAUUCUUUAUCUCUG
rnacentral:misc_RNA from 1 species